AGAAGUUGACAGGUCUGCAAGGAGUCUGUCCCAAAUGGAUGGGAGUUCCUGGCCACGUAGAGGAGGCACAAGGAGAUUGGGAAUAUUUCCUAAGGACACGAGGGAAACCUGAGUCAGUGCCAGAACAAUUCCCAGCUGAAAGAGCUGUGAGUAUCACCAGUACAUCCUCAGAAAUGGACCCUCUGUGAUGGGAAAAAGAUCUCCAAAGUGGGAUUUUUGAUCUGUGCCUCAGGUGAAAGGACACACGUUCUGCUCCAAGAGCCAUCAGCCUCCCUUGUUCUGUCAGUGGCACCAGCCCUGGGUCACACCUGGUUUGGGGAUCACCCAAACCAGCCUCUUUCACAACAACAGAAUGUGCUGGGGGUGUGGAACAAUAAAAAUAGCCUUCCCCUCCCCCUGCCUCUAUUUUCCCUGGUUUUAUCCAAAAUGCUACCAGCAGAGUGGACUAAUCCUGCAUUGCACACAAACCUAUAAUUACAUUCCCCACUGACCUGUGAAAGACCUAAAAAUACACCUAGAUAAAGUUUCAGCAUUGAGAAGGCAGCUGAAAAUUUGGCAUUAUAUUUCUAUAUAUCCGUAUUAGUUUAAUUACAGUCAUGUUUUAAGGUGUCAGUAUGGAUCCCUUGAUUCUGUGAAUUUGGGGCUUGGAGUGCACUGAUGUCCAUUUCUUUAAAGGUUAACAGAGGUUGGCUACUCUGCUAAAAAUAGCACUUUUCCAGGAGUGAGAGAAAUCCCCCUGCAGCAGAUAAUUCCCAAGUGUUCUUUUUCUUGGGCUAGGUAGGAGGAUACUGCAGGUAUCAUCUCAGGGGAUGGGGACACUGAGGAGCAGCUGGGCUGGAGCAGAGUGUGACCAAGGUCCAGUGGGAGAGGGCACCUGCAGCCCAUGAAACAUCCAGGCUUUCCAGUUAAAUCAGGAGCAAUUCCUUAUCUCACCAUGGUUUAUCCUAAAGGAACACCCAGCUAGGGAAGGGCAGGGAACACGUGUCUUCUAAUAAAGUCUGUUUAACUUUGACAUAGAUUACUUCUAAAAAACCCCAUCAAACCACACCAAAUACACCAAUGUGAUAAAGUAUCUCGGUACAAAAUCAAUUCCAAGGUGAUUAUCAGCCUCUGAAAAAUUUGGGCUCUAAGUCAGUUCAUGGCAGGGAUCAAAUUGAGCUGCUGUCAACUCAUUUGGACAUUUUACUUUGCUUCUGAUAUCUGACAGUUAAAAUAAUCUCAGAUAGUUCCCAUUACUCCUGCGUUUUCUGCUUUUUUUGCCUCAGGGAAGGGCCAUGCAGCCAGGCUCCAUCCCAGCCACCUCCCAGCCUGCAGCAUCACUUCCAGCCGUGGCUGGGGAAUCCAGGCUGGGGAAAAAUGGUAGAUAAGGCUGAUCAGCUGUGAGCUGCCACAGCCAGACCCAGGCUGAGCCCCAGCUGAUCUCCAGCUGCUGCUGGGAGCAAUCUGUGCUCCCACAUGGGCUGCACUGGUCACCAGCUGGAAUGCCAGGGGAGCUCAGUCCUCUUGGAGAGAAGGCUUGAAGCAUUAUCUUCUGCUAAUGCAGGACAGAAAUCAAAUGAAGAUGUCAAAACUGUGCUGCCUCUGCCUCAGGCAAAACGGAGCCACGGUGACCCCCAAGUCCUUCCAAAGGGGAUCUCAGUUUGUGUGAAGGAAAAACAUCUCCAGCAUCCUCAUAACUGAGGGCAGCACAAGAUGAAAGUUUAGCAGGGAAAAUCAGAGGAAAAUAAUGGUGUCAGGAUCUGGAUCUGAGAUCUGCAGCUUUAAAGGAGGGAAAAACCAGGGAGAUCCCAGCCUUAGGGUGCAAGAUGUGUUGAAAUACAGAUGUAAAUCAGGGCAGUGGUAACUCACGUGGGUUCAGUAGUGACAUUUCCUGAAGAUAAAGCACAUUUUAAAUGUACUUUGUACUUGCUGGUAACAAAAUUUCCAUUAGUACAAGAAAAUACAUAUUAUACCUCAAACACACUUCACUGAGCUUGGAGAGUAAAGAUAAAAUAAUCUUUUUAUAGCAAAUAGGAAUGAAUACUUAAAAAUAAUAAAAAGUUGGUGAAUAUUCAUUUGA